UUGACCUCAGAUCAGGUAGGACUACCC
rnacentral:rRNA from 2 species